ensembl:ncRNA C23H5.10 ncRNA
AAGGUUCUGGAACAUUUCAGACAAUUCUUGAAUUUUCUAGAACGAUUUAGAACAUUCCAGAAUUUUCCGAUUUUUCUAGAAAGUUCUGGAACAUUCCAGAAUUUUCCGAUUUUUCUAGAAAGUUCUGGAACACUCCAGAAUUUUCCCGAUUUUUCUAGAACGUUCUGGAGCAUUCCAGAAUGUUUUCGAAAUUUCCAGAAGAUUCUAGAUUUCCAGAAUUUUAGAACUUUCAGAAAGCUUAAAUUUCCCGCCAAAAUAUUUUUUUCAGAAAAUUUAUAUUUCCCGCCAAAAUGUUUUCACUAAAAAUUUGAAUUUCCCGCCAAAAUAUUUUUCACUAAAAAUUUGAAUUUCCCGCC